rnacentral:rRNA from 1 species
AAACCAGCACCUCAAGUGGUCAGGAUGAUUAUUGGGCCUAAAGCAUCCGUAGCCUGCUCUGUAAGUUUUCGGUUAAAUCUGUACGCUCAACGUACAGGCUGCUGGGAAUACUGCAGAACUAGGGAGUGGGAGAGAUAGACGGUACUCGGGAGGAAGUGGUAAAAUGCUUUGAUCUCUCGAUGACCACCUGUGGCGAAGGCGGUCUACCAGAACACGUCCGACGGUGAGGGAUGAAAGCUGGGGGAGCAAACCGGAUUAGAAACCCCAGUAGUCC